GAUAAACGCUGGCGGCGUGCUUAACACAUGCAAGUCGAACGAAGUUUUUCCUUCGGGAGAAACUUAGUGGCGGACGGGUGAGUAACGCGUGGGUAACCUGCCCUGUACAGGGGGACAACAGCUGGAAACGGCUGCUAAUACCGCAUAAGCACUUAGCACUGCAUGGUGCAUAGGGAAAAGGAGCAAUCCGGUACAGGAUGGAUCCGCGUCUGAUUAGCCAGUUGGCAGGGUAACGGCCUACCAAAGCGACGAUCAGUAGCCGAUCUGAGAGGAUGUACGGCCACAUUGGGACUGAGACACGGCCCAGACUCCUACGGGAGGCAGCAGUGGGGAAUAUUGCACAAUGGAGGAAACUCUGAUGCAGCGACGCCGCGUGAGUGAAGAAGUAUUUCGGUAUGUAAAGCUCUAUCAGCAGGGAAGAAAAUGACGGUACCUGACUAAGAAGCACCGGCUAAAUACGUG
rnacentral:rRNA from 1 species